rnacentral:lncRNA from 1 species
AACUGGGAUGGCUGAUCACCAUCACCCUAGCAGGAUCCUGCCACUGCCCUUGGGGCUUCCGGACCCUUUCUGUCCUCUUGCAUUUGCCUGUGGAUUUGCAGUUGGUAAUGGCGUUCUUGCCCGGCCCUCCUUUGUUCCUCCAGGCAGCCAGGCAGCUGUGGCGUAGUGAAAGGGCAGGAUGCGGGAUAGGAAUGGAGUUAUUCCUGAUUCAGACUGAUUUGCUCUAACUGUGAUUUGGGGCAAGUCCCUUCCCCUGUCUAGACCUUAGCUGGCUGCCGCAUCUAAAAAAUGGAGCCAAUAAUCUUUUCCUCGUCUUUGGGGUCAUCCAUCUUUCAACCACAUCAGGAGCAGCGGGAACCAAGUGCAGAGGAUGGCCUUAAAAGCAGUAUGGGAACCAAAUUUUUGUAAAGUAAAUAUUUACUAUGGAAAUGAUGUUAGACAAAAAGCAAAUUCAAGCGAUUUUCUUAUUCGAGUUAAAAAUGGGUCAUAAAGCAGUGGAGACACUUCGCAACAUCAACAACACACUUGGCCCAGGAACUGCUAAUGAACAUAUAGUACAGUGGUGGUUGAUUCGGGAGUGAGAAUGACGAGGAGAGCCCUUCACGAGAAGGGGCUGAAGACAGAGCCCCUCAGGAGGCUCCUGCCCAGGAGGGGCCUCCGGACAAAUGUCCGGCCCAGUUCCAUGGCGGUGCCGGACACCAGAGCUCCCGGGGGAGGCAGCAAGGCCCCGAGGGCACCCAGAACAAUCCCCCAGGGUAAGGGGAGGUGAGUGGGCUCCCCAAGCAAGCCAAGACCCCUAAAGCCUCCCUUGGCUGCCCCAAGAUCCAGCCACUACCUGUGCCCCGAGGGCGGAAAGAGCUUCCCAGCUCACCCACCGCGGUAACAUCGGAGGGCGAGCGGCCCCACACCUGCCCGAACCUAAGGCCACAGCACCCAUCUGGCUCGCCACUGGCGCCCGAAUGCAUGGGAAGGGCUUAGGGCAGAACUCGGACCACAUCCAGUGCCUGAGGCCGCCUUGCUAGAGGCCUAGGGGAGGGGUGCACUGGGCUGCCUCGCCCACCUCGCCCGCCUCGGGUGGAGGCGUGGAGACUUCUGGCGCAGCCCUGAGCUGGUGGCCUAACCUACCUGGAAAAUCCUAGCCCGAGAAGCAGCGCGAGUGAGCCUUUUGGGUGGUUCCAAGGCCCUUCACCAAGCUCUCACUUCCUGACUUCACCGUUGGGUCUGUUGUACUAGGAAAUAAUAACGCCUCCCAUUUAUCAAGGGUUUACUCUGUACCAGGCAUUGUGACUGAUGUAAUUUAGUUCUCACUGCAUCCCUGUGGCAUGGAUAUUCUCAUUAUCUGCAUUUUGCAGAUGGAGAAAUUGAGUCUCUGAGAGGUUAAGGAACCUGCCCAAAGUCAGCAAUGCAGUACCACUUCUUGUGCUGGGACACAGCGGGGUUAAGGCCGUGGGUUAACAGGGCCUCCAUUUAUGGAGAGCAUUCAUUUUUCUCUGGUGAAUUACAGAAAACGCUUUCUACACUGAAGUGAGUAGAUACUCCCUGGGAUGAAAGUCAACAUUCGUACCAAUGAUUGAGAUGACAGAAAUUUCACGCUUCAAGCCAAUGCUUUAGGUUCAGCCCAUGGAAUUCUGGAAUGACCUUUUCUCAGUCGUCACCAGGGUGAUGUUGGUGAAGGAAGCUCCAUUCCAGCGGAGCCAAAGCUGGACCCAGGCCGGAAGUGCGGCGCCCUCCGUGGGCCUCUCUAGGAGCGGAGGCGACCGCGUCUCAGUGGGAAUAACCCCUUCAGCUCCGGGAGGCCGUCGCCGCGUGAGGUGUUCGCUCGCUUUCCUCCUGAGAAG